rnacentral:rRNA from 1 species
ACGGCUCGUUUGAGAGACACCCAAGUAGCACGGGGCCCGAGAAAUCCCGUGUGAAUCUGGCGGGACCACCCGCUAAGCCUAAAUAUUCCCUGGUGACCGAUAGCGGAUAGUACCGUGAGGGACUGGUGAAAAGUACCGCGGGAGCGGAGUGAAAUAGUACCUGAAACCGUGUGCCUACAAGCCGUGGGAGCGUCGCUGUUGUUCUUCGGAGCAACAGUCGUGACUGCGUGCCUUUUGAAGAAUGAGCCUG